GAUGAACGCUAGCGGCAGGCUUAACACAUGCAAGUCGAGGGGUAUUGGUUUUCGGACCAAGAGACCGGCGCACGGGUGCGUAACGCGUAUGCAAUCUACCUUUUGCAGAGGGAUAGCCCCAGAGAAAUUUGGAUUAAUACCUCAUAGUAUAGUACUUUGGCAUCAAGGAACUAUUAAAGUCACAACGGCAAAAGAUGAGCAUGCGUCCCAUUAGCUAGUUGGUAAGGUAACGGCUUACCAAGGCUACGAUGGGUAGGGGUCCUGAGAGGGAGAUCCCCCACACUGGUACUGAGACACGGACCAGACUCCUACGGGAGGCAGCAGUGAGGAAUAUUGGACAAUGGGCGCAAGCCUGAUCCAGCCAUGCCGNGUGCAGGAUGACGGUCCUAUGGAUUGUAAACUGCUUUUAUACAGGAAGAAACACUCCGACGUGUCGGAGCUUGACGGUACU
rnacentral:rRNA from 1 species